rnacentral:rRNA from 1 species
AUUGAACGCUGGCGGCAUGCCUUACACAUGCAAGUCGAACGGCAGCACGGGAGCAAUCCUGGUGGCGAGUGGCGAACGGGUGAGUAAUAUAUCGGAACGUGCCCAGUCGUGGGGGAUAACGCAGCGAAAGCUGUGCUAAUACCGCAUACGAUCUACGGAUGAAAGCUGGGGAUCGCAAGACCUCGCGCGAUUGGAGCGGCCGAUAUCAGAUUAGCUAGUUGGUGGGGUAAAGGCCCACCAAGGCGACGAUCUGUAGCUGGUCUGAGAGGACGACCAGCCACACUGGAACUGAGACACGGUCCAGACUCCUACGGGAGGCAGCAGUGGGGAAUUGUGGACAAUGGGCGCAAGCCUGAUCCAGCAAUGCCGCGUGCAGGAUGAAGGCCUUCGGGUUGUAAACUGCUUUUGUACGGAACGAAACGGCCCUUUCUAAUACAGGGGGCUAAUGACGGUACCGUAAGAAUAAGCACCGGCUAACUACGUGCCAGCAGCCGCCGCAG